GCUGUUUGCGAUAUACCGUAAGCGGCUGAGCGAAAGCAUUAAGUGAACCACCUGGGGAGUACGAUCGCAAGGUUGAAACUCAAAGGAAUUGACGGGGGCCCGCACAAGCGGAGGAACAUGUGGUUUAAUUCGAUGAUACGCGAGGAACCUUACCUGGGCUUAAAUGUAGAUUGCAUAGAGUGGAAACAUUCUUUCCCUUCGGGGCUAUUUACAAGGUGCUGCAUGGUUGUCGUCAGCUCGUGCCGUGAGGUGUCGGGUUAAGUCCCAUAACGAGCGCAACCCUUACCGUUAGUUGCCAUCAGGUCAUGCUGGGGACUCUAGCGGGACUGCCACCGUAAGGUGAGAGGAAGGUGGGGAUGACGUCAAAUCAGCACGGCCCUUAUGUCCAGGGCUACACACGUGUUACAAUGGCCGGUACAAAGGGCAGCUACUUCGCGAGAAGAUGCUAAUCUCAAAAGCCGGUCCCAGUUCGGAUUGGAGUCUGCAACCCGACUCCAUGAAGUUGGAUUCGCUAGUAAUCGCGCAUCAGCCAUGGCGCGGUGAAUACGUUCCCGGGCCUUGUACACACCGCCCGUCAAACCAUGGGAGCUGAGGGUGCCUGAAGUCUGCCACCGAGAGGAGCGGCC
rnacentral:rRNA from 1 species